GAGGUUAUAGCUCAAAUGGUAGAGUGCAUGCUUAGCAUGCAUGAGGUGCUGGGUUCAAUCCCCAGUACCCUCC
rfam:Camelus ferus unplaced genomic scaffold scaffold1786, whole genome shotgun sequence.